ensembl:lncRNA
GAAACUGAGGUCAAAUAAGUCUACAGCAGUGAUAGAAAGCUACCAGACCUAAAUCAGCUUCAGAUUAGUAAAAAUUCUUAUCAGAUUAAAAAAAAAACCUUUCAACUGAAAUGUCAUAAAACUAUUUUCAGUAGUUAUAUUAAAGGGCAGGAAGAUGUCUGAACCUCUCACAGAGGGACGUGUUCAGGAGCAAACUUCCCAACAAGUGACACAGCAAUGAGAUGUACCGCAGAAGCAACGCUGCGGGCAGUAUAUUCUGCUACCAUCUAGGACCUUAUUUCCUUUAAGCCUGACCUAAUUCAAAUUUUCUCUUCACUCCUAAGCCUUUUGAGUUCGUGUUAAUUUUCAGUUGGACAUAGUGAAGCAUUUUGCUUCCAAAAAGAAUGAACAUACUCAAGAUUAAUUAGAAGACUUUAAUUGAAAAUCUUUUUUGAAAACAUGUUAACACUUGGCAAAAAUUGCCCUCUACGGUAUUUAUAAAACUAUGAUCAUUCAAAUUUGAAUACAUUUUUGAAAUAGAAAUGUUUAUAACAGCAGAACAAGCUAAAAUCCUAAAAUCAGUCAUUACAUUAAGGAAAGCAAGGGCUCAGACGGUCAAGAAUCCACCUGCAAUGCAGGAGACCCAGGUUCGAUCCCUGGGCCGGGCAGAUCCCUGGAAAACGGAAUGGCAACCCACUCCACUGUUCUUGCCUGGAGAAUCUCAGGGACAGAGGAGCCUGGCGGGCUGCAGAGCCCAUGGACUCGCAGAGUCGGACGCGACUGAGCAACGCGCGCGCGCACACACACACACACAAGCACGGUGUAACGGAAAGCGCUGCAGCAACGGCAACAGGGCCUCAGUCUAGGGUCUCAGGUCUGACUCUGGUUGCACGGCUGCAGGAAUUGGCUUCACCGGGAAAUGCUUUCUCAUUUGACGGGUAUCAUCACCUUUCUCUCCCUCCAGAUGGCUGUUCAAAUAAAAUGAGGUAAUGGACCUGGCGCAGUACCUACCACGAAGCGCUCAACAAAUACUAGCUUCCUUCGUUCAACAGAAAAGACACGCUCCCAAGAAGAUUUAGACGUGAGGGUGUCUACACUCGCACAAGUCUUCACCAGCACAAAACACGGCAGCUGGUUGGUUCUAAUGAAAAGCCAGACCCCCAUUUCACGAACGUUUCUGAGGACACACUGGAUGGGGACCAGAGCCUGCAUGUAACUCUGGAGGACGCCGUUAGAGCAGGGCUGCACACACACACGAAGACCACUAAAAUGCCCGGGAAUCGGGGUUCAAACGUCUGCAGCCUUUAACGCUGGUAGGAGAGCUCACGCUGCGCGAAGAAAAAGCAAGUCAGAUUGGGCCCAGCUCCGGAUGACUACUCUAAUGAACCAGGAGAGCGACGCGGGCUCAUCCUCCUGAGGCGCUAGCAGCGCGGCACUAAAACCCGUUUCGAGCCUGAAAAGCAAGCACCACGAACGCCCGCUCGCAAGCUUGCGCAGGAGAGCCCUCGGCGUCGCGGAGGGCACCUCACGAAGGCCGCAGGCGACGGGAGGAAAAGACCACGGGCUAAGGUCGGGGCUGUGCACACCCGCCGCGGCGAGCGUCCGAAGGAAUUCGCGGCCGCGCUGCGCGCCCCCGGGCGGAGGGGGCGCCUC